AUUGAACGCUGGCGGCAGGCUUAACACAUGCAAGUCGGGCGGAGAUGAGGUGCUUGCACCUUAUCUUAGCGGCGGACGGGUGAGUAAUGCUUAGGAAUCUGCCUAUUAGUGGGGGACAACAUUCCGAAAGGAAUGCUAAUACCGCAUACGUCCUACGGGAGAAAGCAGGGGAUCUUCGGACCUUGCGCUAAUAGAUGAGCCUAAGUCGGAUUAGCUAGUUGGUGGGGUAAAGGCCUACCAAGGCGACGAUCUGUAGCGGGUCUGAGAGGAUGAUCCGCCACACUGGGACUGGGACACGGCCCAGACUCCUACGGGAGGCAGCAGUGGGGAAUAUUGGACAAUGGGGGGAACCCUGAUCCAGCCAUGCCGCGUGUGUGAAGAAGGCCUUAUGGUUGUAAAGCACUUUAAGCGAGGAGGAGGCUACUGAGACUAAUACUCUUGGAUAGUGGACGUUACUCGCAGAAUAAGCACCGGGUAACUCUGUGCCAGCCGCCGCCGUAA
rnacentral:rRNA from 1 species